rnacentral:lncRNA from 1 species
AUGGCGUAUAUAGAACAUAUUACUUUAUUCCAAGCAGUCAUUAGUAAUUACUAGGAUAAGAGACAUUCCUGCGAGGGGUCUCUUUUAUUAAUUUGAAUAGAAUAGGAGAAAAAUACAUUUUCUACCGUAUCCCUGUAUCGUUUAUCCUUAUGAAAUACCAGACGAAAUAGAACGAUCUUAGAAAGGAUAUAAUGAAAUUCCUUGAUUGUUUCUUACCAGAUAAAUGAUCCCUUUUAUAUUCCACUGAUAGGGCUAACAGACAAUUAAUUUUUAAUUAUACCAAACGAAAAUAGAUAUCGAAAUUCUAAAGAAAUAAAAUUCUAAAUAAAUAAACAGAGAGUUUCUUAUUCGAAACGUCCCGUGAUCUUCAACCAAUUCUGCGCUUGAAUAUAAUUACCAGGAGUAAGCGCAAUAGCUUGUUUCCAAUACUCGGCAGCUUGAUUGAACCAAGCCUCCGCAAUUUCAGAAUCUCCCUGUCGAACGGCCUGUUCCCCCCGGUCGGAAUAGGUGGUUCAAUUCCUUUCCUUAGAACCGUACUUGAGAGUUUCCCGCCUCAUACGGCUCGGCAAUCAAUUCUUUUGGUGUCCCGGGUUUUUGAAUCUAGUAUAUCGAAUUGAAUGAGAUUUCUCAUAGAUCGAUCUUUAUCUUUAUUCUUUUUUUUGGGGGGUUAACCAAAAGAGGUUAAUUCCAUGAGCAUGAGUUUCAAACUUGACUUUUGAUUAAAUUAAUAAUCAGCUUUGCUUUCAUUUUAUCUUUUCUCCCACCGUCAGAAGAAUAACAUAGAAGCAUUUCCACUAUAGUUAGAAUUUUCUGAAAGGUAUCUAUCUCGGUUUCAUAUAAAAAUUGAUAUAGAAUCUUUGAAAAAGCCCUUUCUUCCUAAGAAAGAAAAGGCUUACUGUCUUUGGGAUCUGAUGCUACACCGCUGCUCAAUACCUUAGGGGAUCGACUUUAUUACAUAAGUGGAUUCCUUACUUUUAUCUCAUAUCAUGACAUAAAUAAGCAGUUCUUAUUGGAUCGGCAUCGGCCCAAAACCUCGCGAAUUGAUCUUUACGGUGCUUCCUCUAUCAAUUAGAUCCUUUAUCCAUAGAAUAAACUAUCUAGGCAUAUCGAUUUCUUCAUAUUUCGACUUCUAUGAAGUUUCUUUCUUUGCUACAGCUGAUAAAAAUCGUUUUUGCACGAUGCAUAUGUAGAAAGCCUAUUUUUUUUUUUUCGAGUAUUUAUUAGUGUAUUUGCUCUUUACCCCCCCUCCUUUUUUUUUUUCUUUUACUUUUUUCUUUCUAUAGUAGAGAUAGUCGCACGUAAUGACAGAUCACAGCCAUAUUAUUAAAAGCUUGUGGUAAGAACGGAUUUCGUUCUAGUGCCCGAAAAUAAUAUUCUAAAGCUUUUGUAUGUUCUCCGUUACUUGUGUGGAUAAGGCCUAUGUUAUAGAGUAUAUAGCUUCGAUCGUAAGGAUCAAUUUCUAGUCGCAUAGCUUCAUAAUAAUUCUGUAAAGCUUCCGCAUAAUUGCCUUCAGAUUGAGCUGACAUCCGUUACGGUCGUCAUUCGAUUCAAAGAAUUCUCCGUUUCAAAACCGUACAUGAGAUGAAAAUCUCAUACGGCUCCUCCUUUAUGUGCAUUAUGAGAAUAAUCCAUGAAAUCAAAAAAAGAUUGAAAUAUUCUCAUUAUGAACUAAGUGGGGCUAAUGUUUUUACAAGAAAUCUCUAGCCAACCUUCCUGCAAAAGCUUUUUUCUUAAUAUCACGCGUGUUGGUACUAGAUAAAACCGGAAACUCCAACAAUUUCUUUGUUCUCAACGCCCCUUAAUUUACAGGAAUUAAUCACUUCAACAGUCUUCGAUGGUUAUACGGGUAUCCACAGUACGAACGAGAUGGAUGUUUGUUAUCCCAACCAUUCUUCUUAGUCCCGAUCCCGCUAAGGAAAGGGGGCAGCUUAUAACAAAGUUUUCGUGUUG